rnacentral:rRNA from 1 species
CACGUAGGGCGCGAGCGUUGUCCGGAAUUAUUGGGCGUAAAGAGCUCGUAGGCGGCCUGUUGCGUCCGCUGUGAAAGCCCGGGGCUUAACCCCGGGUCGGCAGUGGAUACGGGCAGGCUAGAGGUAGGUAGGGGAGAAUGGAAUUCCCGGUGUAGCGGUGAAAUGCGCAGAUAUCGGGAGGAACACCAGCGGCGAAGGCGGUUCUCUGGGCCUGACCUGACGCUGAGGAGCGAAAGCGUGGGGAGCGAACAGG